rnacentral:rRNA from 1 species
UACGAAGGGAGCUAGCGUUGUUCGGAAUCACUGGGCGUAAAGCGCACGUAGGCGGAUUGUUAAGUCAGGGGUGAAAUCCUGGAGCUCAACUCCAGAACUGCCUUUGAUACUGGCGAUCUCGAGUCCGGGAGAGGUGAGUGGAACUGCGAGUGUAGAGGUGAAAUGCGUAGAUAUCUGGAGGAACACCGGUGGCGAAGGCGACAUCCUGGCCCAACACUGACGCUGAGUGAGCGAAAGCCAGGGGAGCAAACGGG